GCUAGCAAUGCACUGCCUGUGGUUCAGCCGGCUAGUCCUGUGGGUUGUCGUGUUGCGGAUCCUGAAUGGACCGUUCGCUGGCAGCGUCGCUGGGCGAGCUGUGGUGCACUCCAUGGGCGUGCGCGUCAGCGUCGGUUCUCGACGAGCGAUGAGGUGCGUGGGGGAAGGUAGCUCGGUUUUUCGGAGCGAGUGUUAAGACCCUGGUGCUGGGCUCGUCGUGGGACCGAGGAGAGAGAUGAUCGCUGCGGCACCUGCCUCUCGGGGCUAGCCAGCUGUCGUCAGAUGUUCGUCAGGCGUUGAGGACUGCACGCAGUGCUCGGCGUCUUGGCGGGGUCUGGUGGUGGUGUGGGCAUAGAGGUGCCUAGGACGCUGGCGUCCAAAUGGCCGUGCGCGACCCGUCUUGAAACACGGACCAAGGAGUCUAACAUGUGCGCGAGUCUUAGGGUGUGCAAGCCCUUGGGCACAAUGAAAGUGAAGGUUCGGCACUAGUCGAGCUGAGGUGAGAGCCGUUGCUGGCCUGACUGCCACGGCGGCGCAUCAUCGGCCGGUCCAUUCUGCUCUCAGGAGGAUCCGAGCAAGAGCGUAUUUGUUGGGACCCGAAAGAUGGUGAACUAUGCCUGAAUAGGGUGAAGCCAGAGGAAACUCUGGUGGAGGCUCGUAGGGAUUCUAACGUGCAAAUUGAUCUCAAAAUUUGGGUAUAGGGGCGAAAGACUAAUCGAACCAUCUAGUAGCUGGUUCCCUCCGAAGUUUCCCUCAGGAUAGCUGGAACUCGUCAACACAGUUUUAUCAGGUAAAGCGAAUGAUUAGAGGUCUUGGGGGUGAAACACCCUCAACCUAUUCUCAAACUUUAAAUCGGGUAAGAAGGCGGCGACUUGCUUAACUGAAGCCGCGCAGCCAAUGUGAGUUCCAAGUGGGCCAUUUUUGGUAAGCAGAACUGGCGAUGCGGGAUGAACCGAACGCUCGG
rnacentral:rRNA from 1 species